rnacentral:rRNA from 1 species
CCCUCSGGGUCCGAGUUGUAAUUUGUAGAAGCUGUUYCGCGUGCGGCUCCGGUCUAAGUUCCUUGGAACAGGACGUCAUAGAGGGUGAGAAUCCCGUAUGUGACUGGGUGGCCGCGCGCAUKUGAAACGCYUUCGACGAGUCGAGUUGUUUGGGAAUGCAGCUCAAAAUGGGUGGUAAAUUUCAUCUAAAGCUAAAUACUGGCCAGAGRCCGAUAGCGCACAAGUAGAGUGAUCGAAAGAUGAAAAGCACUUUGGAAAGAGAGUUAAACAGUACGUGAAAUUGUUGAAAGGGAAGCGCUUGCAAUCAGRCYUGSGCCCGGGCGAUCAUCGGGGGUUCUCCCCCGUGCACUCGUUCGGGCUCAGGCCAGCAUCGGUUCUCGUGGCGGGAUAAAGGCCCUGGGAACGUGGCCCCUCUCGGGGGGUGUUAUARCCCA